UUAAAAGCGGUAUUGGAAUAUAUCAACUUUGGGAGUUGAAGAUUAGUGGACACUACUUUUAAA
rnacentral:tRNA from 1 species